ACUACCCCCACCCCCGGAGGAGCUCAGGAAGACCGAUGUAGGCCGUACCCUACCUGCAGCUCUUACUGACACCUAAUUUGUAGGUGCCUGGAUCCAGGAGGUGAUUCAGAGUACUUUAUUUCCAUAUACAAGCGCUAGAAGGAAGUGAAGACUCUUCUAGGGAAGAUCCAGAAUGUUAGCUAAUUAUAAAGAGACAGAAAGAAGCGUUUCCUUCUUUCUCUGAAAUUUAGGCACCUGAACUGUUGUAUCUAGUCAGUCAUCCCUUCCUGAAACAAUAAAAUCCACGUUUAGGAGAACCAAACGCAGGAAGGGAAAUGUUAUAGCCCCACGCAGUACUGAUCUAGUAAAAUCUUGAACAAAAGUAUGAACAAGCUUACAGGCUUGCUUUUUCCAUCCAAAUUAGUGCUGAGUAUGUCAGCAUGGGUCCACGCUGGCAUACUUGGACCUUUCAAGCCACAGGACAUUUCACCAGUCCGUUCCCACUUGUUGUGCCUGCAUAUUGUCUGUGGAGGCCCAGGCUCUGCAAAGAGCCUGCAAGAAAGCCAAGGGUGGCAGUGAGCGAGCGAAGGUGCCUGCACCAUGAGACCCCUGCUUGUGCCCAGAGUCGUGGUGCCAACCCUGCUCCAGAAGAUGGCGGUGAUUCUCAGGCCAAAUUUUGGAAGUUGCCCCUCGUCCAAGGCCUAUGCACCGUUUCCAGGGCAGGCGGAGCCUGUGAAUGACGCAGGCAGGGACUGCCAUGGAGGACGAAGGUGCUGCUGGGAUGGAACAGGCUCCCAGGAACCAGGGAUUUUCUCAGCCUCAGGUGCCCCACAGGAACCCUUAGAGCAAAGCCAUGAGCAGGCAGCUCCCAGCUCAGUCCCCGUCCUCCCCAUCACAGAGGGAGAGGCAGAAGUUUCCUGGCUGACACCAAGGAAGCCGACAGGGUGAUGUCGGCUGGCAGCCCAGCAGCGUGGCACAACAAGUAUCACGAGGAGAGGCCAGCUCUGCAACUCAGCGGUGAGCAACGCAGCAUCUGGUUUAGCCGCUACAGCAUGGGUUUAGUUUUUUAGUUGCCUGUACUUAGGGUCUUAGAGUUCCCUCUGCGUCCUCCUAUUUAUUUGCUUAUGGCACAAAUUCAGCUAUCAUGCAAUACUCUAGCUGACCAACUGAAGUCCUCUCCUCCUCCUCUCCUCCCCAGUACUGGCUCCAGCCCAGGUGAUAAUGCUCUGGUGAUCCUGAAGGAUUUCAGAGUAGCUGCUGGCAGGUGGAUGGAGACUGCCCAUGUACAGGGAAAAUGUAGCCUAACCUCAACACGACAUAACUGAUGGUAUCCCAUUCCUCCUCGACGGACUACCAUAUUGCUUCCUGCAUGCAGGGGAAUAUUUAUGAGGAGUGUUCACAAGGUCACAACAUGUGAUGUGGUUGUGCUCAGGAUUAGUUUAAUGGGACUGCAAUAUAACCUGUGAGACAGCUUCUCAGCUGGUAAAUCAUGUUUAAACAGAGAAAAACAAAUACACUGUCUUACUGCUCCAGUCCUUUUACAUCUAGUUGCUUAGUAUUGUUCCUAGCUUGUGUCCACUUUGCAGUGCUUCAGCAAAAUUGCCAGGCAAACUGGCCAAAAAUCAAUUUAAUAGAGAUUAAAAAAAAGGAUGAGAUAUAACAGUCAUUGAUGGGAUAGACAGACAUAUCAAUCUGGCAGCUUGUCAAACUCGUCAGAGCAAUCAACUGUGCUCAUUAAAGGUCAGAGUUGUGCAUUCGCCCCGGCAUUAUCAGCAAAGGCUUGAAUGAGGCCCAGAUUGGUCAAAAGAGAUUUUCCUCACAAAAUUUCAGGUAAAUAGAUGAGUAAGAAGAGCUGUCAAGACCAGUUCCAUACCACAGUUUUCGCUCCAGAAACUGAUUUCUGUGUCACAAACCCAGGUGGUAAACUUUUCCUUUUGUUCCAAAUAAGGGUGAAUCUUUGCCCUAACAGUAAAUAUAUUUAAAGGUAGUUUUCAAGCAGAGGCCCCCAAAUCAUACAGAUGUAGAGUUAAAUGCCAGUAAAACUAAUGCUAGGUUUUGAUUUGAUUGCAUUCAGUUGUGCAGGAAUGUAAAUGUUUACAUAGACAUGUUUGCUGCAAACCUUUUUGCCUCUACACCAGAAAAGUGAUGGGCCUUGGGGGUAAUUCAAGAAGCAGCAAACUUUCUGUAAACACCUAAACUUUGAAUGAAAGAUGCUACCACCAUUACUGCGAUUUGUUUUGUUCAAUAUCACAGAAGCUGAUGUAUUAUAUGACAACUGCCAGGAGGUGACAUAAAAUUGAAGACAACUAGGGUGAGGUAGGGAAAACCUACUUCUUCUUUGGAGGUCAGCAACUCUGCAGGAAAGAGUAGCAGCGGUGCCCACUAGUGCUCCCAAGCAGUGCCUGUGAGGAGCACCGCCAACACUGGCCACUGGCACAGGAGGAGCCACUGGCCCUGCAAAGUUUCUCUCCUCUGCACUUCAAGAGGUUCCCUUUGCUCUAGGCCCAGAAAGCAUAAUGCAGAAGACCCUACAGCUUGCUCAUUUGUGUGGGCUUUGGGAAACUUAUGGGAAGGGAGUUUGCGCUGGGCAGACAUCAGGGAGUUCCUCUCUUGUGCAUCUGACAGAGGCCCCAGCAACGAUAGGAUUUAAGCCUGGUUUUAUUCAGAUAUCUCCAUGGCAAUCAGUGAGGUCUUCCGCUGACAAACUGGUUACCCAGUAUGGCCACGGGUGUGAAAUAGGCACUUGGCUGAGAGCUGUGCCUCAGUAAGGACCUUGGGAUUUGACCUUUAAUUUUGAAUGUGUGACUGUAUAUACAAGCCAUCACAUUUUGUCUGCAGCGUGCUUGUCACAAAAAUCACUCACACAAAAAGGGCCUGGAGCAGGUAUGUAGCAGGCAGAGGCCAUUCUUGUAACACCGCAGCUUGGCAAUUGCCCUGAGGACACGGGACUUACUGACCCUGCCACAACAGUGGAGAAGUGGGAGCUUUUCUCAGGGGGAAAGGAGGGUUGAAAAGACAUCUCUGGGCAGGGACGGUCUGUCCUGCUAGGAGCUGGGGAGCUGGGGCUGCCCACUGUCACUCCACCACAGAGUCUUUGCCUGGGAUCUCCACAGGUUGGGGCACUUGGAAAACCGUUCAAGGGACAAGUAUUGCUGCUAAUUAAGAAACAGAUAUUAUUCCUUUUGGAGCGCAAUGCUAGUGCUGCAUGAGGUAAGAGUAGCUAUUGGUGUUCUGACUAAGGCAAAUAGAUCUGCAGAGGUUUCUUAACAGUGAAAAGGCUAUGUUAGGAUUGGACACUGCAUUGCUCUAGCAUUGGAUCCAAAGGGGUUCGAUAUCCUUCAUUCCACGGCUCAAAUGCAGCAGCAUCUUCGGGAGGAGGUGGCAAUUAUCAAAUGAAUGCAGAGUAGCAUUUACAAUAUAUACAAGAUCGUUACCUCAGCUAUUAUUUAUUGGACAGUAUUGAUUUCCCCAUCUCUAGCAUGCUAGUACCCAGUAAAGAAAGAGUUAAAAUCAUAAUUGCAGGUGCUUGCACCUUGUUGCUGGGUCAGCAGUUUGUCUGAUAAAAGAGCCCUGACCUCCUCAGCUGUAGAGGAAAAGUCCAAAGGUAUCUUCAGAAGUUAUUGGGACUGUUUGCCAGAAAACAGAAGCGCAGCGAUCCACACAAGGAGGCAGCCUGGGGCAUACAGGUACAAAAAGGUGUUGCAACAUGGCAGAGGCCUCCGACUGUGAAAAGGAGUGUAGAUCUUGACUCAUAACUUUGCAAUGCCCCUCAACCAUGCGGUUGAGUGGAAAGCCUCAGUACAUUUAGCAAAGGCAGAGGAGAACAUGAAUUUGAAACCCCAACCACAGGAUGCCUCCUUUGAUUGCCAUGAACCGAAUCUUGCUCGAUCUAAGAUUUAGUGCCAUAGCUGCAAUGCUUCCUGCAAUCCCUCUGAUGCCAGAGAAAAUGACUUGCCUAUUAUCUUUACUAUUAAAGCCUGGAUUUCCUGUACAGGGAAAGUCCUCAUGCAAAAGCGCAGAACAUGUUUUAAAGAGGGAGCAGAAUGUGCUCAGAUUGCGAAGCAGCUGAUCUAAAGGCAGUGAGACCCUUAGGGAACCCUGGUCCACAAUAGUCGACAUUUGAGACAGGAAAUGAUUGUUUAUUUAACUGACUGAACUGAAAACUGCCAGGGAAUUUAAACAAGGGAAAUGGAAUUACUAAGGGCAGCAUUUGGCUAAGUAAGACACGAAGGCUAAACCUCCUGUGAUCGUGGGAAAUAGUAUGAGAUAUUUAACAUCUGUAAGUGGUGGUGGCCUCUGCUUUGUAAUUCAUCUAAAAGACAGAUCAGGUGGGCAGGGGAUCACCAGGGGAUGGUCCCUGCUUCUCAUCAGCGCGGCUUCUUGCAGUGUUUAGCACUUCUCCAUAGCUUCCCUUCCAGCUCCACAGACUUGACUUGAAGUAGCUUGAUUUCUGAGAUUUCAAUGCCACAAUUUAAGCUUUUAUGGCACUGGGCUAUGCUGCUCCUAAAUACACAUGUUUUUUUAAAAAUACUUCAGUAAAAAUACUUUUGAAUACAUUUGCUAGUUACGAAAGACAUUUCGAUUAAGAUGAUGGCCUUUCAUUCGGUGCUUUUCUUCACUCUUCCUAGCCACAUGCAGUAAGCUCUGGGAUCUGUCACCAACUGUGGCAGAGAAUGACACCUGGGAGUUUGACUUUGCUGGAGGAACUGGCUGCAGAAACCAAGCUGAGAGGAGAAAGCCUCUGUGAGUCAGGCAACAUCCAUAACAGCCAAGGGAAUAGAGAGAACGGCACAAUGUAAAAACAUUCAUUAUUUAUCAGUUGGUACCCAGAGAAAAAAAAAAAUCCGUGGUGUCACUGUGUGGGAUCCUGUUCAUAGAGGUUAGGCGUUGAAAUGGAGACAUGUACGGCCUGAUGUCCCCAGCCUGCCUUGCAUGCUGUUGUAAUUGUAACCAUUGCAGUUCAGGCUUCAAUAUGGGUUGCGAAACCUAGGCAAAACUGGGAUGGCUUGCCCAUGCUGAGCAGGUACGCAUCGUGCCACAGAGCAGUGACCUUAUCCUCUUUCUCCAGCCCACGCAGGGGCAGAGUUUGACCAACACCCAUCCAGCAGCGCUGCUGAAAGCCUUGGCCGUAGGGGAUCUAAUGUGUUGUUGCUAUUAGGUUUGCUUCCAGCUGAACGGUUCCCAGUCUGCUUCACUGUGCAAUUGUACAAAUCCUUGUGCCAGCACAAACAAGGGCCCAUGAAAAGCUGGGGCCGCAAGCAGAGCAGAGAUUUCUUCUCUCAGCAGCUGCACUAGCUUGGGCCAUCCUCAAAUGAUGGUAGGACUCCUGCUCCAUGUACCACUUCAAGCAACUGCAGCAAGCAUAAAACCCUGUGAGAUAAUUAUUCAGAUUCUCCUGAAAUUCUGCAUGGAUCCAGGCCACAUUUUGAAAAUCCGGAUCAGCUAUCCCUUGCUACUGCAGUUUUUAAGGGAGUCAGUUUUUGUUUUUGAAGGGAUACGCUAGGCCAAAAGACAAGGUCAGAGAGACUGAGAGAUGGGGCCCGAAGUGGACAGGGUGGGGGAGGAUGGAUGUGGAGUGAAGGUAUAACUUUGUCAUUUUCUCAGUGGCAAUGCCAGCUUCAAGAGUCCCCAGCUUCUGCCACAGUCAUGGCCUCCCUAUCAUCCCUUCAGUCACUUUAUCACCCCUGGUUUGUGCCAGGAGGCUGUGCAAAAGGAAUCGAAGCAACAGCCCGUCAGCACAGAGGAAAGACCGUCCAGUGAAAUGGCACAAGUGUGCUAUCAGGACCCAUCAGUCUAUGUGUGAGCUGUUCCUGUUGGCUUCAGGCAGUGGCGUGUUCCUCCUUGUACCUCUCUUUGCUUAAUUUCUGUGCACUGCAUGCUCUCUAAAUAUUCACAUGGCUUUAUCGGGAGGAGAGUGCUUCACAGGAGAAUGAGCAUAUGACACCAAAUCAUCCCAUGCUGAGCGCCACCAAGUCAUCACAACCUUGGACAAUCAAUCAACUGAUUUUGUGUUAUUUAUGUUGCCCUAAAGGCUACAUUUCAGGACUUGAAAUGUGUGGAUUAGAAAAGCUGACAACAACUCAUUCUGUUAGGCUGUUUAGUAAUGCUGCACAGGCCUUGUUUGAAAAGCUUGCUUUCAAGGGAGGGAAUAUAUCCAACUUGCAGACCAACUUCCUCCUCAAUUACAGUGAACAAAAAGUCUUCAAAAUAUUUAGAAUCUGAUUUACGCUAACAAAGUCAAAGAAAUAGGAGUUAAAACUCAAACUCCUGCUUGACACACUAUUUGUAGUUCAUCCAGUGGUAAUGAGCUAGAUUCUUGCCCGGUAUAAAUGGGCAUAAAUCCACUAAAGCCAUGCAAGAAUGUUGAUUUAUGCUUGCUACAAAUCUGGCCUUUAUUGCAGUAUUUCACUGUAAGCUCCAAUCCUCUUUGCACUGCUCAUUUAUUGGAACGGAAUUAGAUUUACCAAGGUAUGCUCGAACAAAAUGGAUUGCUUUUCCUUUAAAUAUUUUGUACCAGGAAGAAAAAGGUGGUCUAUUUCAACAUAAAGCUGUUAAUAAGAUAUUUUUGCUGAAGGAAACUCCGAAACAAUAGUAUCAUUUGUUACAAUGCCACAAGUUAUUUAUUUCUCAAGGUUACACCAAAUGAGUAUGAGAUGCUCUACAAGUUACAAGCUCUUUCUAGGAAAUCUGAGGUGAUAAAUCUGAAGAAUGGAGGUUGAAACAAGUUUAACUUAAAUGCAAUUGCAUAAAAGCUUAAAUAUAUGCAGCUGAAUUAUUUGAUGAAAGUCUAUUGGAAUUAAUGUGCCUUCAUGCUUGCUCGACUGAGACUAUGUUCCUCUAGAAGACCUCACUUUCUUUAUUGCUAAGUCCCUUCAGUGGGGCUCCGCUCCUUCACUGAGGCUCAGCAUUGUGCAAGAUGCCAGACUUUCCAGAAGAAAAUCAAAAAUUUAAGUUAUUAGUUUUAAAUGUAACACUCUCUAUUUUAGACUAUACUAACUGCAUGAUAAAUAUAGCUUAUCCCUGUAAAGAGCCAUGCUGAGAAAAUUGCAUGUGAGAUUACACUACUGUAAAGUGCUCAGUAUGGGGGCUACACUUAAAAGAUGGAGCUCAUGUAGGAGGUAGCAGCCUGUUUUCUAAAUUCUGUUUCACAUAGGGAACAUCUUAUACUGGUGUUUUCAGUCUGCACUAGGUUUUGAUUAGUUUCCUGAUGAUGUCUGAAGCGCUGGCUUUGCACUGAAUUGUUUACAGCCUGGCCACCAGCAAAGACUUCUCCAUUAACAUGAGAAAACAGCCAUAGGGAUUUGCCAUCGAAACAUUAAGCUCAGCAGCUCUCUGUGAAAGGAUCUGCUCGAAAGCUCUGCGGGGUUUGAGGCUGGCAGUACAGUAAUGCCUUUCGGGGCAGAAGACGUCGCGUACAAAAGUGCCUGAUGCGCGGCCAACGCGAACAACAGAGAGAGUGAGCUCCCGUUCCCGGUCAUGCAAGGUGGCAUGCCCAGCGCAACAGCCGGCAGCGAGGCAGCGCUGCGCCCUCCUGGGGAUGGGGACCUCCCGCGGGACACGGGGGCAGAGAGGGACCCUAACCUCAGGGGGACUGCAGGGCUGGCAUCUACGGUGACACUUUCUCCACUCAUCCUCAGGAUUACAGUCAGCAGAGUAAAGAGCGCGUUUAGCCAAGUACUCCUGCCAAGUCUAACGAGGACCAAAGUAAGCAAACGUAAAAGCCAAAGAGCAGCAGCCAUCGCUCCGCCAGUACUGUUGUUGUUAUACGGGAAUCUGAGUCAUACAGAGAGGCCUCGCGAGGAAGGCAGCAGUGGAGAUGCAAGCAAUCGGAGGUGAAGAGGGGAAAUCCUAGCUCAAGAGGUGCCGCAGCAACGAUGGGGCGGCAGAUAGGACCGGCAGAAAAUAGCAUCAUUUCCUUCUUGACGGUAUCACGGAGGGGGACAGAAGGCUGAAAUUGAGAGAAAAAAAAAAAAGACAAACCAGAAGUUACGUUAUCAUCUGGUUAGAAAGAAGAAUUAAAUU